AGGGAAGGCAGCGGCUGCCAGCGGCCGAAGGUGCCCGCCGGGAGAGCGGCGGAAACUCCCGGCAGCCCCCGCGCUGCCCGUCAUGGCGGCGGAGGUAUCUUUUGAGAACCUGCUUGAUGCAGUAUGGCUUUGAUUAGCCGGAAAAGUUUCCAGUUUUAUUCAUCCAGCGCACCAGCAAGCAGGUCCAUUUUGAUGACCCUAAGCAAAAGGUUGAGCUUUAUCAGCGGGCAGCGAAAGCCCCAAAACUGUAGCUCUGUAGCCAUGAGGAUGCUCUAUUUCAAAGAUAAAUCUCAGUAUAUGUAUUGUAGGAAAAACCAUGUACAGCUGCGGGUACAGUCUCUUUCUGUUAAUGAAACUGUGCAUCUUUGUGGAGAUACUGGGAGCAGUACUAAAUCUAAUAACAUGUGGAUGGAUGAGCAACUGUUUUGCAAGAAGUUGAACAGCCUUUGUACAUCAAAAGAGAUUUUUGACUUUCUUAGCUCUCUAGAAGCCAUGUCUGAUACUAUGGCAUCAGGAGCCCUGCAGAGGAUUUCUGAAGUUGAGGUGGAUGACAAUGGUCUGAAAAACCCUGAAGGGGUGUUAGAGAAUGAAGUUUUCAGGGCAUUAUGCUUUCAAUUUGAAUUUGAAUCCUCAAAACUGUCAAACACUGGGCUGCUGAAUGCAUUGCAAGCUUUGAUAAAACUACGUAUAGAUCCCCAGAGUACGUUGAUGGCAAGCUUGCUUUCAGAGGGUAAGGAACGGCUUGGUAAAGGACAGUUGACUGUUAAAAAUCUGUGUGCUCUUGGAGAGAGUUUGCUUGAGUUGGAAGGCCCAAGUUGUGCAACACUGGGAGAAAUUGUGAACCACAUGCAAGAAAAAGACAUUGAGAAGUGGAGUCCUAGGGAAACGGUGAUGGUUUAUAAGAUGCUGCAGGUGACUGUCAGGGAAGGGGAACAAUACCAAGACUUGCUAAACAGACUGAACAGUGUCACUUUAAACAUAGUUUCCCAGCUAAGCCCAAAGUUCACAAGUAUAAUACUGAAUUCACUGGUUGUUCUUCACCAGACUCAAGCAGUUCCCUUAAUCACAGCACUGUGUAAACAUUCUGUGAAGCAUAUUCCAUAUUUCACAGGUGAUGAACUGGUAAAUGUACUGGAAGCCUUCCUAUACUUUGGACAUCGUGAAGAAAUUUUUACAGAGGCACUGGAAACACAUAUUCCCAAGUCCAUCUUUACCAUGCAUCCUCAAACAGUCAGCAAAGUCAUGCAGUAUUGCUGCCAAAAGAUGAUCCUUUCUAAGCCCAUCUUUGAUGCAGCAGCAGAAAAUUUCAUUUCUGAUGCUGACAGAUUUACCACCGACCAGAUUGCUGGGUACAUUAUACCAUUUGGGACUCUUAACUAUCUGCCUACAAGUGCUUCUUCCUUGUUUAGGAAGCUUGAAACCAUAUUGCAUGCUCGUUUUAGUCACUUUCAGCCUCGCACCUUGCUGAAACUGCUGCACUCGUGUGUCCUUAUUCAACGUUAUCCAGUAAAUUUUCUGCCAAAAAUAUUUAGUCCCUAUUUCCUGCAACAGCUUCAAGCUCAGCCACCUGGUUUGGACAGAAUUGUUACCUCCCAGCUAACCCAGCUUUUUCUGACUGUUACCCUUGAGUGCCCGUUUUAUGAGGGUCCCAAACUCCUUCCAAAGUAUCAAGUAAAAGCCUUUCUCAUGCCUCCCAGUUCUCUGGAUGUUCACCUCCUCAAAAGGGUGAAGACUGGAUUACUUUAUUUACUGAAAAAAAGGAUAUAUUUUGCAUCAGAGGUAUCAACACCAUAUUUCUAUACAGUUGAUAUUGAGAUUAAAUUAGAUGAAGAAGGUUUUGUAUUGCCUGCUGCCCAAUGUGAAGAGGUACACAGACGAGUUGCCCUCUGUGUUGAUGGUCAAAAUAGAUUUUGCAUUAACAGCCACAAUCUGUUGGGAGAAGAAGCUAUUAAACAGAGACAUCUUCAAUUACUUGGUUAUGAAGUUGUGCAGAUUCCGUUUUUUGAGAUAGAGAGUCUACAAAAUUGCAGAAAAAUGGCAGAAUAUCUACACAAAAAAAUCUUUCCUCAUACAUACGGACUUGGCUGCUGACGCAGGAGAAUAAUACUAAAUCACAGGAAACUCACUGUGUUCGCAAAUGAGACAGGUUUCCUAUGUGUAAGUACCUGACAGAACUCCAGUGUCAAAGCUGUGGACUUCCAGUCCUUGUUCUGCUAUUAUCAGUCCCGCUGUGGUCCCCCUCUGAACAAUGCUGCCUCAGCUUUAAGUAACAGCAGGAUCGAUGGCUCUCGAGAACCAAACUGAUGCAUAUCCUGCAGGAGCUUUGGUUACAGAACCAGAGAUGUUUUUUCUUGUGACACUCUUGAACAGAUCAGUCCCUCAGACGCUAUUUGUAUCGUGAAAGCCAGCAAAAUGGAUGUCUGAAACCAGUUAAGCUGAGAUUUUGUCUGUUGAAAUGCUGAGUGCUCAGAACUUCCCGUUAACUUGACUUUCAUUUGAAGUCUACUGAAACUGCUAAGCACUUCUCUGAGUCGGCUCAUUUCUUUACUUGCUCCUUUAUGGGUAAGGCCAUCCCAUUUUGGAAAAUCUGGGAUGAAUCCCCGUUUCAGCUGUUGUGCAAAUAAAAUGACACCUUGCAAUUCUGUAGCAACACUGUACGAACUAAGAAGUCGGUGACCACUGAUAACCUUGAGGAGCAAGCUUGCUUAAACGUUAAGUCUGCGAAUAGUUAUGCAGAAGCACUGCCUAAAAUUGCAGAGAGACAGCUGUUGACCCAACAGGUCUCGCUUCCAGUGUUGCUGCUUAAAAUCAUAGAAUGAUUGAUGCUGCUUUUCAUGAGAUUUUUGUGAGACUGUAAG